CGUACACUCCUGCGGGAGGCAGCAGUAGGGAAUCUUCCACAAUGGGUGCAAACCUGAUGGAGCAAUGCCGCGUGAGUGAAGAAGGUCUUCGGAUCGUAAAGCUCUGUUGUUAGAGAAGAACACGUGCUAGGUAACUACUAGCGCCUUGACGGUAUCUAACCAGAAAGUCACGGCUAACUACGUGCCAGCAGCCGCGGUAAUACGUAGGUGACAAGCGUUGUCCGGAUUUAUUGGGCGUAAAGGGAGCGCAGGCGGUCUGUUUAGUCUAAUGUGAAAGCCCACGGCUUAACCGUGGAACGGCAUUGGAAACUGACAGACUUGAAUGUAGAAGAGGAAAAUGGAAUUCCAAGUGUAGCGGUGGAAUGCGUAGAUAUUUGGAGGAACACCAGUGGCGAAGGCGAUUUUCUGGUCUAACAUUGACGCUGAGGCUCGAAAGCGUGGGGAGCGAACAGGAUUAGAUACCCGUGUAGUCCCA
rnacentral:rRNA from 1 species